rnacentral:rRNA from 1 species
UGGGGAAUAUUGCACAAUGGGCGAAAGCCUGAUGCAGCAACGCCGCGUGAGCGAAGAAGGUCUUCGGAUCGUAAAGCUCUGUCCUUGGGGAAGAUAAUGACGGUACCCUUGGAGGAAGCCCCGGCUAACUACGUGCCAGCAGCCGCGGUAAUACGUAGGGGGCAAGCGUUAUCCGGAAUUAUUGGGCGUAAAGAGUGCGUAGGUGGUUACCUAAGCAGGGGGUGAAAGGCAUUGGCUUAACCAAUGUUAGCCCCCUGAACUGGGCUACUUGAGUGCAGGAGAGGAAAGCGGAAUUCCUAGUGUAGCGGUGAAAUGCGUAGAUAUUUCGCAGAACGCCGAUUGCGAAGGCAGCCGCCCAGGGACGCACUGACGCUGAGGCACGAAGGCAUGGGGAUCGAACAGGAUUAGAUACCCUGGUAGU